CGGAUGGAUUGGACGUCGCCAUGUACCGCAUAUCGGGGCUGGAAAAAGAGCGCUCGCUAACGAAACAAUAACAGAUGGACACGCAUAGACGGAUGUGCCGAGGGAGAGAGAGGGGGGCGUCUUCCUUUCUUUUUUCCUUCUUUGAUCGCGGGACCUCGUGCAUGGCAGCAGUGCUGCUUCCGCUGUUGCUGCUGCGCUUCGCUCACGAGAAGAGCGGACAGGAGGAACGGCCCAGGGCAAGGUGAAGGAGGGCUUGCCUACCGGGUGCCCCCUUACAUUUCUAGACGCUUCGGCCGAUGCCACCAACUGCCCCUCUCUCCAGCACCCACCCCACCCCCGCCCGCAUGGGUGGCGCGUAGCACUGUUGUUGUUAUUGGGCAUGCGGUGGCGUCAUCAGUAGUCUUUAGACCUCUCGAUGAAACGGCACGCGGGUGGAGGUUUCGGCAGCGGGUGCGAAGAAAGUUAGCAGCCGAUGGCAUCUCUUCCCCCCCUCCCCCCCUCUCUGCGCAACUCCUGCUCUGUUCCUCUCCGUGCUUGAAUCGGCGUUCCAUCUCUCCGCCCUCCCGUCAG
rnacentral:misc_RNA from 1 species